rnacentral:rRNA from 1 species
UAGGGAAUCUUCGGCAAUGGGGGGAACCCUGACCGAGCAACGCCGCGUGAGUGAAGAAGGUUUUCGGAUCGUAAAGUUCUGUUGUUAAGGAAGAACGAGUGUGAGAAUGGAAAGUUCAUGCUGUGACGGUACUUAACCAGAAAGGGACGGCUAACUACGUGCCAGCAGCCGCGGUAAUACGUAGGUCCCGAGCGUUGUCCGGAUUUAUUGGGCGUAAAGCGAGCGCAGGCGGUUAGAAAAGUCUGAAGUGAAAGGCAGUGGCUCAACCAUUGUAGGCUUUGGAAACUGUUUAACUAGAGUGCAGAAGGGGAGAGUGGAAUUCCAUGUGUAGCGGUGAAAUGCGUAGAUAUAUGGAGGAACACCGGUGGCGAAAGCGGCUCUCUGGUCUGUAACUGACGCUGAGGCUCGAAAGCGUGGGGAGCGAACAGG